UACGAAGGGGGCUAGCGUUGUUCGGAAUUACUGGGCGUAAAGCGCACGUAGGCGGACAUUUAAGUCAGGUGUGAAAUCCCAGAGCUCAACUCUGGAACUGCCUUUGAUACUGGGUGUCUUGAGUAUGGAAGAGGUGAGUGGAAUUCCGAGUGUAGAGGUGAAAUUCGUAGAUAUUCGGAGGAACACCAGUGGCGAAGGCGGCUCACUGGUCCAUUACUGACGCUGAGGUGCGAAAGCGUGGGGAGCAAACAGG
rnacentral:rRNA from 1 species